CCAGAGAACUUAGCAGAGAUGCUUUGGUGCCUUCGGGAACUCUGAGACAGGUGCUGCAUGGCUGUCGUCAGCUCGUGUUGUGAAAUGUUGGGUUAAGUCCCGCAACGAGCGCAACCCUUAUCCUUUGUUGCCAGCGGUCCGGCCGGGAACUCAAAGGAGACUGCCAGUGAUAAACUGGAGGAAGGUGGGGAUGACGUCAAGUCAUCAUGGCCCUUACGAGUAGGGCUACACACGUGCUACAAUGGCGCAUACAAAGAGAAGCGACCUCGCGAGAGCAAGCGGACCUCAUAAAGUGCGUCGUAGUCCGGAUUGGAGUCUGCAACUCGACUCCAUGAAGUCGGAAUCGCUAGUAAUCGUAGAUCAGAAUGCUACGGCGAAUACGUUCCCGGGCCUUGUACACACCGCCCGUCACACCAUGGGAGUGGGUUGCAAAAGAAGUAGGUAGCUUAACCUUCGGGAGGGCGCUUACCACUUUGUGAUUCAUGACUGGGGUGAAGUCGUAACAAGGUAAGCGUAGACGU
rnacentral:rRNA from 1 species